AUUUUCUUAUUAUGAUUGAUGUUUGUGUGUGGCCCAUUGAUUAUGAUAUUCCAUAGAUCGUAGUCAUGUGCUUGAAUGAAAAUACGCAUGCGUGCUUUCCAAUGUGUUUAGUUUAUGCCAUUAAAUAGUGGAGGUCUAUCAAUUAAUUGUUCCUUUCCUAGAAAACUAUCUAUUUGAGUUGUCAUGAUCUUUGGCUCUUGAUCGUGAGAUCAACAAUUAACCUUAGAACACCUGCUCUGAUACCACUUGUUGCCCAAGGUGACAACCCAAAAGAGGGGGUGAAUUGGGUUUUCUAAAUUUUUAGUGCCUUAAAAGUUUUCUUGUUAAGAGCGGUGGAAGCUUUCUUAAGUUACUUGUGUGAACUUACUCUAAAGCAAGAAUAAAUACAAUAACAAGCACAACACAAACAAGACAAUGUAUAGUGGUUUGGUGCACCCCAGCACCUACAUCCACUCUCCAAGACCUCUUGGAAAUUUCACUAUAAUCCCUCAGAUUACAGCCGGUUGUUUUACAAGCUCACAACCUAACUUGUUGUUUUCAUGAGAUUACAACGAACUCGGUCGGUUUUCACAGGCUCACCGAUUAGAACCAAUCCGACUGUUUUCACGGGCUCACAAUCCAACCCAGUUGGUUUUUUCCGGAUUACCAACUACAACCUACAACGUUGGUUUUUACUGGCUCAUCAACAACCCUUAACCUCUUGAUUCAAUCCCUUGAUUGAAUCAAGUUACAAGAUGUCAGAAUAGGAGUUUAAAACAAAUACAAACUUCUCAAACAAGCAGAUAUAACAAUAUAAACAAAUAGAGUAAAGAGAAGAAGCCCUCAAACAAGUUUUGCAGAUGAAAGAACUUGGCUUCUUCUUUACUUGACCCUCUUAUGAUUUCGCACGAGGUAGAGGAUCACUGAGGCAGCACACAGUUGGAGAGGAAGCUUUGGGAUUCACUCAGAUGCUCUUCUUCUCUCUCUUUUGCUUUGAAUGGCCCUUUUGUGCUUUUGGAAAGUUUCUCUUAAAAUCUCUUUGAAAUCUCUUCCCUAUGUGUUCUCUCCCACUUGUCCACUUCUCCCCUUGCUCUCCCCUUGAUUUUAUAGCUUUGGAUGGCGUGGGAACAAAGAUCUAGCCGUUAGAGACAAAAAUAGAGCCGUUGGAGUCGAGAAAAAACUAGCCGUUAUGCCUCCCAGUGUGCUCGAGUCGACUCGGCUGAAGCAGGAGUCGACUCGUGAAUAGGAGUCUGCUCGGCACUGUAGCUGGAGUUGGCUCGCACUGUAGUUGGAGUCGGCUCGAGAACUGUGGCGCUGAAAACUACUUUCUAUCCUGACUGAGAGAGACGGCUCGAAUGAAGUAGGAGUCGGCUCGGCACUAUAGCUGGAGUCGGCUCAUGAAUAGCUGGAGUCGGCUCAUGAAUAGUAGGAGUCGGCUCGAGCACUGCUUAUUGAAAAUCAGAUCUCUGUCUUUUUUCUGCGGGAGUCGGCUCGUGAACAGUAGGAGUUGACUCGAGCACUGUUCCUUGAAACUCCAGAGUGCCAGAGUCGACUCUGAACUUUCAGGAGUCGACUCGAGGACUGUUCUUUUGAAUUUUUCUUGGAGUUUGCUCCUCCAAUUUGAAUCCUGUGAACUUGAACCUUGGGCCAAUGAAGUGUGACUUUCUUCCAGCUUUUCUUGAGAGCUUUUGAGGCCUUCUUCUUUCAACUUGCUAUGUUCCUUGCAAAACAAAUUAUCUUUCUUCUUGCAACACAAACAUUAGUAAUUAUACUUCAAGGUUUUGUGAUCAUCAAAAUCAAUCUUUGGGUUAACACAUGUGAAAAUUAAGUGACAAGGAAGAAACAAGCGGGCAACAUUCAAAUUCUUUAACAAGACUUUUUGACAUCAAAUGGGUUGCGCUCUUGUUAAAUGUGAGUGAUAUAAGAUGUUAGGGUUAGGACUGCACGUCUCAUGGCAGAACUUGAAGGUAUAGGGCUUUGAGGAAAGAUUAUGUGGUCAGCUCUCUGUACAGCACCAGAAAUCUGGACACAGUGGGAUCUGUUGCAAGAUUAGGAAGAAAUGAGGGAGCAACAGUUCCUAGGAUCAAUAACUGGUGAUAUGGAAUUGAAUAUAGGAUUUUAUUUUGUAGGGAAAAGGCUCUUGAUGCAUUUUUAGGGUUAAUAACGGAUGGUGAGGCUUCUAGUGGUGUUAAGGAAUCAAAGUAACACAAAAUAAAUUGAUAAUAAAUCCAAUUAUGAUCAGAAUUAAGCUCAGUUAUUAACUACAGAAAGCAAAUAAUAGAUAAAUAGAAUAAUAGGAUGAAAAGUAGGAGAAUGUAGAGUAAAGAUUAGAAUCAAAGAGAAGAAGAAAUAUGGAGCAAGAAUAAGAGAAAGGGAGGGGAUAAUAGCCAAACCUUGGCUUUCUUCAUUCUUUCAAUCAAAUCAUCUCAAAAUCAUCCCUUAGAAAAGAUGAUUACAGCCUCUAUAUUGACUCAAAACGCUAACAACAAUAAACAUUGACCCUUGAGUUAGAAACUAAUCCAAGCUGUCCAUUAAAACAUAAGAAGAGAAACCUUAAAAGAUACAAAGUCCCCUGAUAAUUGUAUUGCUAGAGUACUGUGAAUAGUUCCCCCUGCUACAACACCACCAACAAUACCCAUGAAUAAUGUGCGCUACAAGGAUGCUCUGACUUGUCUAUCCAAAAGCCUUCAGGCAUAUAUAGGAUUACAUGCAUGCCCACCUAUCAUUUAAGUCCAUUAUUUCCAUCUAGCACUUCUCUUGCACAGGUAAGUUACAUUUGCUUGUGUAAAAUAACUUCCUCAUGUAAGAUCACUGUUGCCUGUCAUAUCAUUACUCUGCCACGAUAUCAUGUGAAAUUGUGGUUGUCCAUCUUCUCUACUCCAUGCAGCCAUUAUGCAGUUCAAAAUUCUAAUUUCUACAUUCGAAGUGAAGCCUGCAACUAACGUGACUGGACAUUAAUUUGAUUGUGUAACAUUGAAAAUUGGUUCAUGUUAAGCACUCAUCAAGCAUUCUUGGCUCUUGUAUAAUAUCAAGACUAUGGUUAUGCUGCUAGUCUAUAUUACACUGGAUGCAAAAAUCACACAUGAUUCAAGACUUAUUUUGCUCGCUCGGUGCCAUCCCUUUGAAACUAUGUUAUGCUUCUAUUGGGCCAUGUGGAAUAUGAUGUUUCAUUUUCUGGUGCUGUUCCUCACUAUGUUGUCCAUGUUGUUCAAUACUGUUAUUCUUUGGAGCAUAAAUGCUUUAAGAGUUUGAUUUGCUAUUCUUCUCAAGGGGUUCAUCAAGUGGUAAUACUUGUUAAUUGAGUGCCAAAUUGCUGCCCAACACAUUGUCUAUUAUAGAUGCAAGUAAUUCCAUGCAUCUUGCACCCCAUUUGUUAUAAGAAUACAUCCUUUUGAGAGUACCCCCAGGUUUUCAUACGUAUAGUUGCCCAACUAGUUUUUGGGAUUGGAUUAUUUUGAUGGUCGAGACUUAUUUUGCGUUGCAAAAAUCUAUUAAGAAAUUCAUGAAAAAUUUAAUUGAUGAAUAAUCCUCUUCCUGGUUUUCAUACAUACAGCUGCCCAAUUAGGUAUCAGCAUUGCAUCAUUUUGAUGGCUGAGACUUGCUUUGCAUUGCGAAAAUCUCUUAAGAUUGAUUGCUGGAUCAUCCUCACUUGCAUGUUGCAGGAACUACAAUUCUUGAUGCCAUUAAAUCCACUGUUGAUCCUUCAACCACUAUCAUCUAUUCUGAGAACCCUGAUGCCAGCUUUGUCAAAGACAAUGAUUUCUCUUAUGCCAUUGUUGUGGUUGGGGAACCCCCCUACACUGAAACUGCUGGAGACAGCCUAAACCUCACACUUCCUGAUCCAGGUCCAAGCACAAUCCAGACUGUCUGCAGUGCUGUCAAGUGUGUUGUGGUUAUCAUCUCUGGCAGGCCUGUUGUAAUUGAGCCCUAUGUUCCAUUAAUGGAUGCUCUUGUGGCUGCUUGGCUCCCUGGUUCUGAAGGCCAAGGUGUUGCUGAUGUUCUUUUUGGAGAUUAUGGAUUCUCUGGGAAGCUUCCACGAACAUGGUUUAAAUCGGUGGACCAGCUCCCCAUGAAUGUUGGAGACAAGCACUAUGACCCAUUGUUCCCGUUUGGUUUUGGUUUGACAACCAAGCCAAUGGCUACAAGGUAGAAAUCAUAUUCCAUUAAACUUCCACCACAGAAUGAUUGUCUGUCAGUUUAUUUUGACAGUAUAAUAUUUUACAUAGGCAAAGGGGUCCAGCAAGGAUUAACCCUUUGUUAAAUUUUGCUACAAUCAGUGGGAAAAGAUCUUAAUUUAACUUAUUAUUUGGCCCUUUGUCAUCAUUUUUAGGUCCUCUUCUUCGGCUCGUGUUGUGAGAAAGGAGGAAUACUGUAUGCUGUCUCUAUAUCUCAGUUUAUUGGUUACAUGGAUAUUAUUUAGAGUUUCAUAACUCCUGCAUCAGCCAUUCAAUAUGAUUAAGACGGUAUAAUUGUGGGCUAUGUGGAUUGACAUCAGAUUGCUGUUUGAGCUGGACAGUAAGGUCAACUGUCGUGUUGCAUUGCUCUCACGUCUAUCCAGUCUUGGCCAAAGCAUCAUCCUUGGAACAUUGAUGUGGUUUGCAUGCAAUACUGUUUUUGCACAAUUGCGGGCCUUGGCGAUCGAACAAGUUCUUUUACAUGCUUUGUUCCAUCAUUUUCAUAUGAUUUUGUGUACAUCAAAACUGAUUUACCAAGGAGUUGAUUGAAACUUUUUAGAAAGUGGAUGUCCUUUAUCUGCAUGCGCUCCUUGGGUGUCUUUGUGUCAUCAUCUCUACCAUUUUAACCGUGGAUGCCUUCUGUGUCAUAACUUUCCUCUUGUAACGGUUUGCCCAUAUGCUGCUUCAUUUUUGAUUAUUUAUGACUGUUUCCAUCUGACUCGCCUAAUCCUUUAAAAUUGACCAUUUCAAGUAAAAAUGGAUAUGAGUGAUACAGGCUUUUGAUGUUCAUGAAUGUGGGCAUUGCAUAUAUGGUGCUGGUGAAAUCGGUUUGAAAUAUCGAGACCAAAGGCUAAGGUUAGGCUCGAUACUAGGAGCCUCAGUUCAGACAAAACCAUCUUGUCUUGAAGUGGGGGUGGAUUGCACGGCUUGAGGGCAAAUUGAGGGUGGUUCUCAAAUCACUGAAUGGGAUCAAGGCUGCUUUGUCUUGAACCAACCUCGAGCCACUCCCGAAUCGAGUAGUAUGCCUAGGUAGUGGUUGGAAAGUAUGGGUGAUUCUUUUUUGUUUUUGGCCAUUUGGGUUGCAGGUGUUGUUAUAGUUAAAUGAUAUUCUAAGUAUAUUCUCUUUAUUUCUUUGAACAUACGUCUUCUAAAUGUAUUUAGGUUGCAAUUUAUGAGAUAUUAUGUAAUAUUUAUUCAUGUUCAGGACUUUAACAUAAAUAAAAUACCUUGAUUAGGGCACUUAACUUGAUGUCCCUAACUUAUUUUUUACAAGAACAUAUAUUUAGAAAAAAAUUGAUAAAGGAAUCAAAAGUUUAAGGCUAAAAAGGCUAGCAAGGGUAUUUGAGGCAUAUCAAUGUGUGAGGGCCCGGUGAAUUGACCAGCCCGCACAUUGUUGGGCCAAUGGGCCGGCCCAAAGUGGCCCGCCCAAGAGCCACCGUGCUCUGGCAUGAUGCAGCAGAGAAGAAGAAGACUCUAAUCUUUAGCAAAAAAAAAAAAACUUCGUUCGGGGUCUUCUUCCUCCUCCGAAUAUGGCGAUAAUCAAGAACACUCAAGGCAAUCUGAGUUCGUCUAGGACUUGAGGACUUCGCCUAGUUAACUUCUCUCCUCCUUCUUGGAUUUCUUCCAUCAGAAUCGUCAAGAAUAGCUGCCGAUUUCAAGCUUCUUCUUUGAGCAUUCUUCCUCGUUUGCUUACUGGAAAGAGUCGCCAGAGAACGAGUUAUGAGUUCUUCAUCUCCUCCUCUUUCUUCCUUAGUGCUCUAGCCUUCGUUCUGUUAGAUUCAAGCCGACAAAUUGCUGGAAUACCUUCCGGCAUAAAGGAGCUCUGUUUCGACUCCCUUCUUCUGAUGAACGCCCUCAUCGGCAUUCGUCGCCGAGGGCCUUAGCCCUUCCUUGCAUCGGCCUCGAGCUGGAGCCAGACCUCAGCCGCUGGCAAGCGAGCUGGGAAUCCGAGGACAAUCAAGCCCAAAACCUUUCUUGUUCGACCUUAUUUUGGAUUGGUUUUGGCUGCUGGCCACUGCCGUCAGUUGCCCAACACUGCCCUCCACCGCCUCCGGCCAUCACCUCGCUGGACCACACGACCAUAACCACCAACUGUCCUCUCUCUUCUGUUUUGCCGAGGAAGAGGAAAGAAAAAAGAAAGAAAGAAGAAGAGGAGAGAGAGAACAUCCCUCUCUUUCUCUCUCUUAUUUCCUCCCUCUUCUUCCUAUUCUCCUCUUUCCACUUUCUCUCUCUAGAUUGUCCAAGAAACCCAGUGUCGGGUCCUGUUGACCUGAUCUUCGAACCCGAGUUGACUCCUAUAAAGAGCCUAAUCCGCUCUGGUGCCUUGGCUGCCUAUUGAACCGAUCAUCCCAACCCUGUUGAAUGUUCUUGAAACCUUCAUUGAUGAACCAUAUUGAUUAAUCUUGUCUCUAAUCGAGUCCAUAGCUAUGAUUUAUUGAGCCAAUCAUCUAGAACACCCACAUGAAGCCACCGUACGUCCAUAAAUUAAUUUUGUUGUUAAUUUUUUAAAUAGAUCUAGCGAAGUCCCUUAGUGAAGUUUGACAGUCUAAGACAAAAGAGGUAAGUAAGCCUUAUACUACUUAUUAAUUUUCAAAUUUGUAAGUAAGCCUUAUACUCCUUACCAAUUUUCAAAUUUCUACUUAUUUUUUGGUAUUAUAAAAAUAUGAAAAAAGUGUUAAAUAUUGAUGAUAUCAUAUUUUUCUAAAAUUAAGUAUCAAGCAUAAGAUAUUAUGAAACUCAUGAUUGCAAAUUAUUGGAUCUAUGAUUGUUUUACCGUCAAGUACUAUUUAUGAAUUAUGAACUCCGUAUUUAUGAAAUUAUAUUUUUGUUAUGAAAAAAUAAUUUUAUGAUGUUUCUAUUAUUAAAUGCUUAUUUAUGGGCUAUGAAUUUUAUAAAGCCAUUUAGUGUUGUUUUAUUCAAGUAUGAUUUAAGAAAAUAUAAUUCAAGAAAUAUGACUUAAGAAAAUUAUCUUAAUGACUCUGGCAAAAAGGCUCCCAAAUCUUUGUAUGGCUCCUAAAAGUGGCGUAGAUCGAUAUUUAGUUUUAUACGACCCUAACAGUAGGUAAUAGUACUUGGCAUACAACCCUACCAGCAUAUAAUAGCAAUUGGCAUACGACCCUACAAACGGAUAAUAGUAGUUGGUGUUUGUCGAUUAUAACCCUAUCACGGAUAUAAUAGUGACCUUAGUAAUUAGUCUAAAAGUAGUAAUUUGACCAAUGUAUGGUUAAAUAGUAAAUAAUUUAUGAUUUUAUUUAUGCUAUAUACCAGAAACCAUAUUCUAUGAACGAUUUCUACAUGCAAGAUUGGCUUUAUGACUUAUUUUAAUAUAUUGUACUAUGAAAUGCUUUGUUUUGUAAUAUCUGUUAUUUUCUUUAAAUGAUGCAUUGACAUGCAAAAACUUAUGCUUGAUCUGGUAAGAUAGUGAAACGUUUACUUACUGAGCUGUGUCGCUUAUAUACAUCUAUUUUUCUUUUUCUCUCUCUGAUGAAUAGGAUUAGUAGGGAUGAAGGUUGGUCUAGGCUUGGAGUUCAUACUACAAGUUUGGCGAUUUUGUCGAAAGAUUUUAAUAUUUUAAAUUGACUGUGAAUUUGUAGUCAAUAGAUUUUUGAAUAUUGAGGAUUAUGAGUUUGGUACUUAUGUUUGGAUUUAGACGCUCUGAACCAGUAUUUGUUGCAUUUAUGGAUAAUGAAAUUGUAUUCUUAUUUAUUCUAUUGUAUUUGAGAUGGAUUUAAAGGCUGAAUAUAACGUUGGCUUCGUGUUUGUUGCCCAGUAGGCAGCCCAAGAGGGGGGGUGAAUUGGGGGUUAAUUAAAAAUGCGGAAAUUCAAAUUGUGCUUAAUCUAAAGUGUGAGUUUACGAUAUGAAGACAAUGAGACAAUAGAAAAGCAAAACACAAAGACACACAAUUUAUAGUAGUUCAGAGCUACCCUUGCUCCUACGUCCACUCCCCAAGUUCCACUUGAGAUUUUCACUAUAAUCCUAGAAUUACAGCACGGUUGUUUUACAAGCUCACAACCUAACUUGUUGUUUUCACAAGAUCACAACGAACUCGGUCGGUUUUCUCCGGCUCACCAACUAGAACCAAUUCGACUGUUUUCACGGGCUCACAAUCCAACCCAGUUGGUUUUUUCCGGAUUACCAACUACAACCUAAACCCUUCUGAUUCAAUC
rnacentral:lncRNA from 1 species